rnacentral:rRNA from 1 species
CCUACGGGAGGCAGCAGUGGGGGAUAUUGCACAAUGGGGGAAACCCUGAUGCAGCGACGCCGCGUGGGCGAAGAAGUAUUUCGGUAUGUAAAGCCCUAUCAGCAGGGAAGAAGAAAUGACGGUACCUGAGUAAGAAGCACCGGCUAAAUACGUGCCAGCAGCCGCGGUAAUACGUAUGGUGCAAGCGUUAUCCGGAUUUACUGGGUGUAAAGGGAGCGCAGGCGGCACGGCAAGCCUGAUGUGAAAGCCCGGGGCCCAACCGGGGGACUGCAUUGGGAACUACCGGGCUGGAGUGCCGGAGAGGUAGGCGGAAUUCCUAGUGUAGCGGUGAAAUGCGUAGAUAUUAGGAGGAACACCAGUGGCGAAGGCGGCCUACUGGACGGUGACUGACGCUGAGGCUCGAAAGCGUGGGGAGCAAACAGGAUUAGAUACCCGUGUAGUC